AUUGAACGCUGGCGGCAUGCUUUACACAUGCAAGUCGAACGGCAGCGCGGGGCAACCUGGCGGCGAGUGGCGAACGGGUGAGUAAUAUAUCGGAACGUACCCAAGAGUGGGGGAUAACGUAGCGAAAGUUACGCUAAUACCGCAUACGAUCUAAGGAUGAAAGCAGGGGACCGCAAGGCCUUGUGCUCCUGGAGCGGCCGAUAUCUGAUUAGCUAGUUGGUGAGGAAUGGCUCACCAAGGCGACGAUCAGUAGCUGGUCUGAGAGGACGACCAGCCACACUGGAACUGAGACACGGUCCAGACUCCUACGGAGGCAGCAGUGGGGAAUUUUGGACAAUGGGCGCAAGCCUGAUCCAGCAAUGCCGCGUGAGUGAAGAA
rnacentral:rRNA from 1 species